rnacentral:sRNA from 1 species
GGGUCACAGUGACCGCCACCGUUGCCUGGGGAUGGGUCCCUGAGACUUGGCGAAGUAGGAGCCCUGUGUGAUCGUGCGUCAGAGUCGGGGCUGAGACCAGUCCUGGCCAGGGCAGUUACCAGGACGGUCUCCGGAGGCCGGGAUUCGCGGAGGCUCCACCAGGAGGAAGAAACCCCAGGAGGAAGAAACCUCAGACAGAUCGCCGGGGAGGCAGCGAGGGAUCCCAGCCUCAGGCGUGCGCGGACGGUGUGCGG